rnacentral:tRNA from 1 species
GCCGGCGUAGCUCAACGGCAGAGCAGCUGAUUUGUAAUCAGCAGGUUGGAGGUUCAAAUCCUCUCGCCGGCU